rnacentral:rRNA from 1 species
GACGAACGCUGGCGGCGUGCUUAACACAUGCAAGUCGAACGGAAAGGCCCUGCUUUUGUGGGGUGCUCGAGUGGCGAACGGGUGAGUAACACGUGAGUAACCUGCCCUUGACUUUGGGAUAACUUCAGGAAACUGGGGCUAAUACCGGAUAGGAGCUCCUGCUACAUGGUGGGGGUUGGAAAGUUUCGGCGGUUGGGGAUGGACUCGCGGCUUAUCAGCUUGUUGGUGGGGUAGUGGCUUACCAAGGCUUUGACGGGUAGCCGGCCUGAGAGGGUGACCGGCCACAUUGGGACUGCGAUACGGCCCAGACUCCUACGGGAGGCAGCAGUGGGGAAUAUUGCACAAUGGGCGGAAGCCUGAUGCAGCAACGCCGCGUGCGGGAUGACGGCCUUCGGGUUGUAAACCGCUUUCGCCUGUGACGAAGCGUGAGUGACGGUAAUGGGUAAAGAAGCACCGGCUAACUACGUG